GGGCCUGUAGCUCAGCCUGGUAGAGCACCCGACUCUUAAUCGGAUGGUCGUGGGUUCAACUCCCAUCAGGCCCG
rnacentral:tRNA from 1 species